CUGAUCCAUUCUCUAGUAAACCUAACCGACUCCGUAAAAUCCACACACGGCCGCCAAACUCGUCCGGCGAUGCGGACUCGCUCCUCGUCGACAUCGUCUCCUCCGGCGAUGUGUACUCGAUCUCGCUCCUCUUCGACAUCCUCUUGUCCUCCUCCGGCGGCGAAGUAGGCGCGCUCCUCCUCGAGAUCCUCUACUCCGGCGGUGAAGCGGCGACGCGGGCGCUCUCCUCCGUCGAGACUCCCAGCCUGUCCAGCUACCAUCCGUGGGGAUAGUGGGCUGAUGCUGAUUCUGUUUGAGACGCCCUCCGGCUUUGCAAUUUUCACCUUUUGUGGGUUACUUAUUAGCCGACCAAAUGCUGUGGAGGAAGUAUGGCUUAACUUCACUGAUAGAUGGAAGGCAGAAAGUCUGCCAUCCGUGGGGAUAGUGGAUUGAUGCUGAUUCUGUUUGAGACGCCCUCAGGCUUUGCAAUUUUCACUUUUUGUGGGUUACUUAUUAGCCGACGAAAUGCUGUGCAGGAAGUAUGGCUUAGCUUCACUGAUGGACGGAAGGCAAAACGUGCUGUUUUCCUGGAAGGGUUUCGAACUUUUAAGGACAAGUCCAAGGCCAUUAAUAAAAGUACUGGUGUCAGCAAAAGGCUUACUGAGAUGAUCACGAACUGUCGCUUCCCUGAGCAGAAAAUUGCUGUUGGAAAGCUUGAAUACAAAAGAAUUAUUGAAGAGAGAUUGGUGAGUAUAAGCUCCUGGUUUAUCUAUAUUUUUGAACAACUUUGAUUGCCAUUUUUGCUGUGACUUCUUCCAGAAUAUAGACUGCCUGUACAAUACAGCUGUGAUGGAGGUAAUGUGGGGCAUACAGCAUUGCAUGCCAAGUUUACUGCCUCAAGAAAAAUCACAACUGACAGAAGCGGACUGUCUCCCGAUGAGUCUAGGACUGCACUAUGUAUUGCAACAUUAUGACUGUGAUGUCAACACAGAUAUGGUCGAUGAGCAAAUUGUUGCGACAGCUUCUGCGUUGUUUCAGUGUGAUUCUGUUGAGAAGAAAUAUUCUGGAGCCUUGCGCCGUGCAGGUGACCUCAUUAAGGAUGUUUCUGGCAUCAACUGCAAGGGUUGGACGUUACUGAAAAUUGCAACAGCUCUGAAGAUGAUAUGGUGGCCUGAAUUUGGCGACUCCUGUGAGGUUUCAGAAGAUGAUGUGUCAAGGUUGGUGGCUCAUGCAUAUAUAUAUAUAACGUUCAUAAGAAUAAAGAUUCUUGUUUGAGAGUCUACAAAGAUAUGGUCGAAGCUCAUGAAAUUAAGACCUCAAAAAAAGAACUACUGAAAUCGUUGGUUGAGCUGGCCAAUAAAACAUAUGAGGCUCAAGGGCCUGAGAAGAAUGUAUAGACCAUAUAAGCUCACAGAUAGCUGAAACUGUUGCAGCUAAUAAUUUGUUCUCAGUCUGAAGCGAG